GCUAUUGAUGAUGAUGAAUUGAUUGGCUAUAUCCUCAAUGGAUUAAAUUCGGAUUAUAAUCCUUUUGUGUCUUCUAUGUCUACCAAAGAUUCUGUCAGUUUGAGUGAUCUAUAUGCUCAGCUUCUCUCCUUUGAAU
rnacentral:snoRNA from 1 species